GAUGAACGCUGGCGGCGUGCCUAAUACAUGCAAGUCGAGCGAACGGACGAGAAGCUUGCUUCUCUGAUGUUAGCGGCGGACGGGUGAGUAACACGUGGAUAACCUACCUAUAAGACUGGGAUAACUUCGGGAAACCGGAGCUAAUACCGGAUAAUAUUUUGAACCGCAUGGUUCAAAAGUGAAAGACGGUCUUGCUGUCACUUAUAGAUGGAUCCGCGCUGCAUUAGCUAGUUGGUAAGGUAACGGCUUACCAAGGCAACGAUGCAUAGCCGACCUGAGAGGGUGAUCGGCCACACUGGAACUGAGACACGGUCCAGACUCCUACGGGAGGCAGCAGUAGGGAAUCUUCCGCAAUGGGCGAAAGCCUGACGGAGCAACGCCGCGUGAGUGAUGAAGGUCUUCGGAUCGUAAAACUCUGUUAUUAGGGAAGAACAUAUGUGUAAGUAACUGUGCACAUCUUGACGGUACCUAAUCAGAAAGCCACGGCUAACUACGUGCCAGCAGCCGCGGUAAUACGUAGGUGGCAAGCGUUAUCCGGAAUUAUUGGGCGUAAAGCGCGCGUAGGCGGUUUUUUAAGUCUGAUGUGAAAGCCCACGGCUCAACCGUGGAGGGUCAUUGGAAACUGGAAAACUUGAGUGCAGAAGAGGAAAGUGGAAUUCCAUGUGUAGCGGUGAAAUGCGCAGAGAUAUGGAGGAACACCAGUGGCGAAGGCGACUUUCUGGUCUGUAACUGACGCUGAUGUGCGAAAGCGUGGGGAUCAAACAGGAUUAGAUACCCUGGUAGUCCACGCCGUAAACGAUGAGUGCUAAGUGUUAGGGGGUUUCCGCCCCUUAGUGCUGCAGCUAACGCAUUAAGCACUCCGCCUGGGGAGUACGACCGCAAGGUUGAAACUCAAAGGAAUUGACGGGGACCCGCACAAGCGGUGGAGCAUGUGGUUUAAUUCGAAGCAACGCGAAGAACCUUACCAAAUCUUGACAUCCUUUGACAACUCUAGAGAUAGAGCUUUCCCCUUCGGGGACAAAGUGACAGGUGGUGCAUGGUUGUCGUCAGCUCGUGUCGUGAGAUGUUGGGUUAAGUCCCGCAACGAGCGCAACCCUUAAGCUUAGUUGCCAUCAUUAAGUUGGGCACUCUAAGUUGACUGCCGGUGACAAACCGGAGGAAGGUGGGGAUGACGUCAAAUCAUCAUGCCCCUUAUGAUUUGGGCUACACACGUGCUACAAUGGACAAUACAAAGGGCAGCGAAACCGCGAGGUCAAGCAAAUCCCAUAAAGUUGUUCUCAGUUCGGAUUGUAGUCUGCAACUCGACUACAUGAAGCUGGAAUCGCUAGUAAUCGUAGAUCAGCAUGCUACGGUGAAUACGUUCCCGGGUCU
rnacentral:rRNA from 1 species